rnacentral:tRNA from 1 species
GGGGCCGUGGGUUAGCUUGGCCAUACUCGGGCGUUCGGGACGCCUGGACGCCAGUUCAAAUCUGGCCGGCCCCACCA